AAAAAAAUCCUCUCCCUUCUCCUUUUGUUCCUUUAAACGUAGUCCAGGGUCCGGCCAUAGGGUCGUCAGGAGCCCGCCGAGACCACCGGUCAUUAGCGACGGCGACUGUAGUCUCUGGUGGCAAAAUUAUGAAAACGAGCCUUUUCAGCUCCUCUUCGGCCCAAAUAUGAAGACAAAGCCUUCUGUUCGAAAAAAAAAACUUUCGUCCUCUCUACCUAGCCGACGCACGCCUUUCACACCUUAUUCCAUCGAAGCCCAGGCCAAACCUUAAAGGGUUCUGGGGUUUUCGAUGUCGGGGAAUACCUACAACAAUAGAGGGAGGUGAAAAGACUCAGGUAAAAAAUGAUUUUUAUCUUAUUAUGUUUUCGAAAAAAAACAAACAAAAAAAAGAAUCACCUUCGUAUUUUCUAUUUUCUUUUUGAAUCUUACAAAAGUUUGGUUAUAGCCUUUCAAUUACAAUAUUUCUCUCUUUUUUUCCUUUUUGUCUCUUCUCUAUUAUUCUGCUUCUGUGCUUUUUUCUCCUUUGCAGGAACCCAUGGUCAACGGCGAUGACGGGAGUCGUGCCUUGGCUAUUUUGGUGCAACGGUGGCAGAGAAGGCGUCAGGCCUCGGGGCGCGAGUAUGCUAACGUGGUGGGGAGCAACGCCAAAGGGGUUCGGGUUUUUUUUUUUUUUUGCUUUUUGAGAAUAGUUUAAGUUAUGGGCUAUUAGGCUUCGUGUUAUUGGGUAUUAGGUUUAGCAGAUGGGUUAGGUUAUUGGACUCUUUUUUGUUUGGGCUAAUCUAUUUUGUAAAUGGACUUUUAUUUAUUUGGCCGGAUAAAAUUGGCCUGUUACGCUAAUAAAAGCAAUGUAUUAAUUAUACCAG
rnacentral:lncRNA from 1 species